UGGGGAAUUUUGCACAAUGGGGGAAACCCUGAUGCAGCGACGCCGCGUGAUUUAGAAGGCCUUCGGGUUGUAAAAAUCUUUUCUAUGGGAAGAAAAUGACAGUACCAUAGGAAUAAGGACCGGCUAAUUACGUGCCAGCAGCCGCGGUAAUACGUAAGGUCCGAGCGUUGUCCGGAAUCAUUGGGCGUAAAGGGUACGUAGGCGGGUAAGCAAGUUAGAAGUGAAAUCCUAUAGCUCAACUAUAGUAAGCUUAUAAAACUGCUCAUCUUGAGGUAUGGAAGGGAAAGUGGAAUUCCUAGUGUAGCGGUGAAAUGCGCAGAUAUUAGGAGGAAUACCGGUGGCGAAGGCGACUUUCUGGCCAUAACCUGACGCUGAGGUACGAAAGCGUGGGUAGCAAACAGG
rnacentral:rRNA from 1 species